rnacentral:rRNA from 1 species
UACGUAGGGACCAAGCGUUGUUCGGAUUUACUGGGCGUAAAGGGCGCGUAGGCGGCAUGACAAGUCACUUGUGAAAUCUCCGGGCUUAACUCGGAACGGCCAAGUGAUACUGCAGUACUAGAGUGCGGAAGGGGCAAUCGGAAUUCUUGGUGUAGCGGUGAAAUGCGUAGAUAUCAAGAGGAACACCUGAGGUGAAGACGGGUUGCUGGGCCGACACUGACGCUGAUGCGCGAAAGCCAGGGGAGCAAACGGG